ncrna:Caenorhabditis remanei lin-4 stem-loop (crm-lin-4)
UUUCGGCCUGCUCCCUGAGACCUCAAGUGUGAGCGCACUGUUGAUGCUUCACGCCUGGGCUCUCUGGGUACCAGGACGGC